rnacentral:rRNA from 1 species
UACGGAGGGUGCAAGCGUUGUCCGGAAUUAUUGGGCGUAAAGAGCUCGUAGGCGGUUUGUUGCGUCGGCUGUGAAAACUUCACGCUUAACGUGGAGCCUGCAGUCGAUACGGGCAGACUUGAGUUCGGCAGGGGAGACUGGAAUUCCUGGUGUAGCGGUGAAAUGCGCAGAUAUCAGGAGGAACACCGGUGGCGAAGGCGGAUCUCUGGGCCAUUACUGACGCUGAGGAGCGAAAGCGUGGGGAGCGAACAGG